UGGAAAAGUUCAUUCUGACGGAAAGCCCCUGAUAUUAUUUUCACAGAUCCACACAGUUCAAUUGAAGAAAGCCCUUCGGGCUUUUUUUGCAUGAUGUAUGAACUGUGGCUCCGGAUAUGGAGCCACCGUCUGUACGGAAAGCUGCUCGUAUUCAUGCGCCACGGGGAUGAGAGCUUCACAGCGCCAUGAUCCACAAUUUGGAAUAUACCACUGGGGCUCUAAAUGCUGGGGAGGGGCAGAAGGAUGCUUGUUAAAGCCUGCACUUUGUCACCUUGUAAUGAGGAGAAAGCGUUCCUGCUGGGAAGAGGGGCAAAUAUUGAGAUCGCUCCGGGAACAACUCAGUGCACCUCUUCAAGUGUUUACACAAUGAGGACAAAAAUGCAGUGGAUCUCACCCAUCUCACACUUACCCUCAGAAAUAAGUAGGUAGUUGUGGGGAAACAAGCGAAAGCAGGCAGGCAGAUUGAAAGACAGAGGGGGAAUCGCACAAACUUACACACACACACACACAGAUUGAGUAUUUGGGACCUCUCCUAGAGCACUUCUAACCAGCUCUGAAUCAACACAUUUAACAUUUAUAAAGCAUGCUAGCACUCAGUGCUGAACAAAAAUGUUGACAAGGGUUAAGGCUUCAAGUUUGCAUGCAAGUAGCAACAGACAUACAGACUUCAGGAUACAGGAUAGAGCUGAUUCCACCAUGUAAACGUGCGGUAUGUGCACGUUUGUGUGUGUCUCUGUUUGUAAGUCUGUGUAAUGUGUGUAUGUGUUGAAGAAAUCGCCCCCACACACUAAAACCUUACACAGUUUCUGCUUCCAAAGACGCUUCAAUUUAGACUUUCAGAACCACAAAUUGGAGGCAUUUGCCAUCAAAUUCCCACCCCGGGGGGCCUCACUGGGGACAUUCAAGCCCCCCCAAAGGUCAACUUGUUUUCGAAGCUUUCCAAUUUCAGGAUCACCUUGGCGACCAUUCUCUUCUCACCUCUAUCAGAGGGCUGUCUGCGCUGCCUCUCUCCUUUGUCCACACCUCUGAGCGUCCAUAGAGGGCAAUGCACUGCAGUAUAAAGGCAGGAACGGAGGAGUGCAGCCCAGUACGCCAGGCACUAAUAAGGAAUCAUAUGGGAAAUGUACAGUAUUUCUCUAUUGAACCCGUUAAUGACCACAAUGUUUCUCUUCAAAGCAGAUUGGCUAAGAUAUUUCUUCUAUACGCAGUAAGGCAAUUUACUAGGAAAAAGAAGCACUCGUAAAGCUGUACAAAGCCCAGUAGGCUAUUUACUCCAUUUCCAAAGCUCCUUGGGGAUGGAUUUGCUUUUAGAAUCCCAUGAGAGCAAAAUCUACCUUGGGUUAGAAUGAACAGGUGAAAAGACCAAAGGG
rnacentral:lncRNA from 1 species